UACGGGGGGGGCAAGCGUUGUUCGGAAUUACUGGGCGUAAAGGGCGCGUAGGCGGCCUGCUAAGUCGGACGUGAAAUCCCCCGGCUCAACCUGGGAACUGCGUCCGAUACUGGAUGGCUUGAAUCCGGGAGAGGGAUGCAGAAUUCCAGGUGUAGCGGUGAAAUGCGUAGAUAUCUGGAGGAAUACCGGUGGCGAAGGCGGCAUCCUGGACCGGCAUUGACGCUGAGGAGCGAAAGCCAGGGGAGCAAACGGG
rnacentral:rRNA from 1 species